rnacentral:rRNA from 1 species
CAAAGGUUGAUUCCGGUGGCGGAUGGGCAUGCGUCGCAUUAGUUAGUUGGCGGUGUAACGGACCACCAAGACGACGAUGCGUAGGGGUUCUGAGAGGAAGGUCCCCCACACUGGUACUGAGACACGGACCAGACUCCUACGGGAGGCAGCAGUGAGGAAUAUUGGUCAAUGGGCGGGAGCCUGAACCAGCCAAGUCGCGUGAGGGAUGACGGCCCUAUGGGUUGUAAACCUCUUUUGCCGGGGAGCAAAGUGCCGCACGUGUGCGGUUUGGAGAGUACCCGGAGAAAAAGCAUCGGCUAACUCCGUGCCAGCAGCCGCGGUAAUACGGAGGAUGCGAGCGUUAUCCGGAUUUAUUGGGUUUAAAGGGUGCGUAGGCGGACGCUUAAGUCAGCGGUAAAAUUGCGGGGCUCAACCUCGUCGAGCCGUUGAAACUGGGUGCCUUGAGUGGGCGAGAAGUACGCGGAAUGCGUGGUGUAGCGGUGAAAUGCAUAGAUAUCACGCAGAACUCCGAUUGCGAAGGCAGCGUACCGGCGCCCAACUGACGCUCAGGCACGAAGGCGUGGGUAUCGAACAGGAUUAGAUACCCUGGUAGUCCACGCAGUAAACGAUGAAUGCUAGUUGUCCGGGGCGAUUGAGUUCUGG